GUCAGACCCAUAACCAAUCGAAUUUCAAACCCCACCCAUGAAUACCGCCAUGCUGAACACGUCAAAAGGCCAGUGCGUCAGUGUCUAUUGGAAGACCAUGGUCCGACUCCGUUUCCGGGAACCAUGUUUAAUUUCAUGUGUAUCAAUUAGCCUAAUGACAUAGUUUCUCCGAGGUCAGGCUACCGGAAUCGCACAUUCAGUGAUUCCCGGACUCUCCUCAACGCAGACAGGGUCAAGUCUUCAGGAGAGUCAGCAGACCCUGCUGAAGGAGAACGUAGACCCAGGCUCCAUCAGGACCAGGGGAGGCAGGCAGAAUGUCCUGCCCUCAGACCCUGCUGGAGGAGAACGUAGACCCAGGCUCCAUCAGGACCAGGGGAGGCAGGCAGAAUGUCCUGCCCUCAGACCCUGCUGGAGGAGAACGUAGACCCAGGCUCCAUCAGGACCAGGGGAGGCAGGCAGAAUGUCCUGCCCUCAGGCCCUGCUGGAGGAGAACGUAGACCCAGGCUCCAUCAGGACCAGGGGAGGCAGGCAGAAUGUCCUGCCCCCAGACCCUGCUGGAGGAGAACGUAGACCCAGGCUCCAUCAGGACCAGGGGAGGCAGGCAGAAUGUCCUGCCCUCAGACCCUGCUGGAGGAGAACUCAGACCCAGACUCCAUCAGGACCAGGGGAGGCAGGCAGAAUACCCUGCCGCGACACUGUCUGAGCAACUCUUCGUCCUGGAGAUUCCCCCCCUCCCCGACUAGCAGCCUUCACACUGGAGACAGAUCACAUCUCUGGUGAAUGAGAUCUAUGACAGCAAGUCUUUUACAUAAACCUCUCUCUGUAGUCAACACAUACAGUCAAAGUACAAGUUAACAUUGUACAUAGACAGGUUCUGUUGAGUGAGUUGCGUAGGUACUCACAGGUGAACACAGUACUCACAGGUGAACUUAGUACUCACAGAUUAACUCAUGGGUGAACACAGUACUUGUAGAUUAACUCAGAUUAAAUGGGUUAACACAGUACUCGCGGGUUAACACAGUACUCGCGGGUUAACACAGUACUCGCGGGUUAACACAGUACUCGCGGGUUAACACAGUACUCGCGGGUUAACACAGUACUCGCGGGUUAACACAGUACUCGCGGGUUAACUGAUGACUGUAAGGUGAUGACUGUGUGUGUUUGCACGUGCAUAGAAUCAACCCUGUAGACAGAAGUCACCUCAGCAGCAGUAGCCUCCAGUUUGGUCUAGCGGGCUAAAAGGACAUUUAUUUGUCAAGUCCUGUUCCAUGUUUUCUCUUUUUAAAUAAACUGUUUGGUAACUGCUGCUGAGUGUAUGAAGGAGGUAGGGCGUCGAUAGUAAAUGUAUUUAAAACUUCUGAUUUAUGCUGUGUGUGUUCGUCAUGAGUGAUGCUGUCAUUCAGACUUUUGAG
rnacentral:lncRNA from 1 species